rfam:Dethiosulfovibrio peptidovorans DSM 11002 ctg1, whole genome shotgun sequence.
CGUAUUUUCGACCUGCCGUCGUGUAGUACGAAUGGAGCGACAGGACGUCGCCCCAAGCCGAGGGGGCACAGGACGUGCCCUCCGAGGCGGUCCGUACGAAACAGGCAGGUCGAAAAUACG